GAUGAACGCUAGCGGGAGGCUUAACACAUGCAAGUCGAGGGGCAGCACGAGGUAGCAAUACUUUGGUGGCGACCGGCGCACGGGUGAGUAACGCGUAUGCAACCUACCCUGUACAGGGGGAUAGCCCGGAGAAAUUCGGAUUAAUACCCCGUAAUGAUAUUGAGAGGCAUCUCCAUAUAUUUAAAGUUUCGACGGUACGGGAUGGGCAUGCGUGACAUUAGCUAGUUGGUAGGGUAACGGCCUACCAAGGCUGCGAUGUCUAGGGGUCCUGAGAGGGUGAUCCCCACACUGGUACUGAGACACGGACCAGACUCCUACGGGAGGCAGCAGUGAGGAAUAUUGGUCAAUGGGCGUAAGCCUGAACCAGCCAUCCCGCGUGAAGGAGGACGGCGCUAUGCGUUGUAAACUUCUUUUCCGGAGGAAUAAAAUUUCGUACGAGUACGGGACUGAAGGUACUCCGGGAAUAAGCAUCGGCUAACUCCGUGCCAGCCGCCGCGGUAA
rnacentral:rRNA from 1 species